rnacentral:rRNA from 1 species
UUGGAGGGCAAGUCUGGUGCCAGCAGCCGCGGUAAUUCCAGCUCCAAUAGCGUAUAUUAAAGUUGUUGCAGUUAAAAAGCUCGUAGUUGAAUUUCGGAAUCUGUCCGUCGGUCGGGCUUCACUGUCCGUACUGGUGUGAUGGGUUUCUACCUUCUGAAUAAUCGGCAUGUCAUUAAUUUGGUGCGCCGGGGAAGCAGGACUGUUACCUUGAAAAAAUUAGAGUGCUUAAAGCAGGCUAUUGCCUGAAUACAUUAGCAUGGAAUAAUGAAAUAGGACGGCAUGGUUCUAUUUUGUUGGUUUCUAGGAUCACCGUAAUGAUUAAUAGGGAUAGUUGGGGGCAUUAGUAUUCAAUUGUCAGAGGUGAAAUUCUUGGAUUUAUUGAAGACUAACUUCUGCGAAAGCAUUUGCCAAGGAUGUUUUCAUUAAUCAAGAACGAAAGUUAGGGGAUCGAAGACGAUCAGAUACCGUCGUAGUCUUAACCAUAAACUAUGCCGACUAGGGAUCGGACGAUGUUAAUUUUUUAAUGACUCGUUCGGCGCCUUACGGGAAAC